rnacentral:misc_RNA from 1 species
CCUACACGUACAUGGAUCGACCUGCUGCAAUAACACGAACAAACCAUCAAGAGUGAAGCACCGGGUUAAGCAGCGGCCUACCGGCGAAGAAAGCUUCAAGGUUACUGAUGGUGACGUCACGGAGGUCGGACCUGGACUCUGUCGUGAAGACCGCGACGUGAUGCGUCAGCACCACAUUGUCCAUGGAGAAGAGCUCUGCCGGCACCUUAGGCUCCUUAUCAAAGACAUCCAGGCCGGCUCCGGCGAUCCUCCCCUCCUUGAGCGCCGCGACCAGCUCCGCCUCGUCGAUGUUCGGGCCCCGGCCGAUGUUUACCACGACCCCGUCCUUCCCGAGCGCCGCCAGCACGUCCUUGUUCACGAUGUGGCGCGUCUCCCUGGUCAGCGCGCACGCGACGACGAGCACGUCCGAUUCCGACGCGAGGUCGUGGACGCUAGGGAAGUACCUGUAGGAGACGGAUUCCUUGGGCUUUCUGGAGCUGUAGCAGAUGACGCAGCCGAAGGCUGCCAGCCUCUUCGCGAUCAGCGUGCCGAUGUUGCCCAGGCCGAUGAUGCCCACGCGCUUGCCGCCCAGCUGCGAACACAUCAAUUGAAGUAAUAAUUUUUUUUUUUUUGCUAUCGAUCGAUCAGGAAGAAAGAAGGAACAGGACCCGACAGAUCGACCUUGCUGCCGAGGGGAUAGUCGCCGUGGAGCGGCCAGAGCCCGCGGCGGACGAACCGGUCGGCGGCGGACACGCGGCGGAGCACGUCGACGAGCAAGCCGACGGCGUGGUCGGCGACGUCGGUGGAGUAGACCGUGCCGGAGCUGGCGACGCCCACGCCGCGGCGCGCGCACUCGCCGAGGUCGAUGUGGUCCAGCCCGGCCCCCGUGCUGUGGACGAAGCGGAGCGACGGGACGGCGUCCAGGAGCGCGGCGUCCACGCGGACGGAGUCGCCCCCCACGGUCACCAACGCGCGGGGCGGGUCCGCGCCGCCGGCCGCCGCGGCCAGGAAGGCGGCGAGCGGCGAGCCCGACGUGAAGAAGUCGAGGACGCGGUACCGCUCGCGCAGCGCCGCGAGGAACCGCAGCUCUCGGACGCGGAACACCAGGAGCGUCGGCAGCGCCGAGGGCUCGGAGGAGGAUGCCAUGGCGAACGGAGAUGCGGAGGGGAGCUGGGAUUUUUUGCUUGGGAUAAAAUUUAAAUUAGCCAGCGCUGGAGUCGUCAUGUGCUUUGAUUCGAUUCGUUGGUUGCUGUAUUUCUCAAAGCAAAUUGUUAAAGCUCUGUUCCUUGGUCACGAUGAUUAGGUUUAUUUUAAUUUUAGGCAGCUCUGUGAUAUGAAAUGUUUUCUGCACAUUGUGCUUUGGCAGUACAGGCAUCAGUGCAUCACGGAAUA